rnacentral:rRNA from 1 species
GGUUAAGCGACUAAGCGUACACGGUGGAUGCCCUGGCAGUCAGAGGCGAUGAAGGACGUGCUAAUCUGCGAUAAGCGUCGGUAAGGUGAUAUGAACCGUUAUAACCGGCGAUUUCCGAAUGGGGAAACCCAGUGUGUUUCGACACACUAUCAUUAACUGAAUCCAUAGGUUAAUGAGGCGAACCGGGGGAACUGAAACAUCUAAGUACCCCGAGGAAAAGAAAUCAACCGAGAUUCCCCCAGUAGCGGCGAGCGAACGGGGAGCAGCCCAGAGCCUGAAUCAGUGUGUGUGUUAGUGGAAGCGUCUGGAAAGGCGCGCGAUACAGGGUGACAGCCCCGUACACAAAAAUGCACAUGCUGUGAGCUCGAUGAGUAGGGCGGGACACGUGGUAUCCUGUCUGAAUAUGGGGGGACCAUCCUCCAAGGCUAAAUACUCCUGACUGACCGAUAGUGAACCAGUACCGUGAGGGAAAGGCGAAAAGAACCCCGGCGAGGGGAGUGAAAAAGAACCUGAAACCGUGUACGUACAAGCAGUGGGAGCACGCUUAGGCGUGUGACUGCGUACCUUUUGUAUAAUGGGUCAGCGACUUAUAUUCUGUAGCAAGGUUAACCGAAUAGGGGAGCCGAAGGGAAACCGAGUCUUAACUGGGCGUUAAGUUGCAGGGUAUAGACCCGAAACCCGGUGAUCUAGCCAUGGGCAGGUUGAAGGUUGGGUAACACUAACUGGAGGACCGAACCGACUAAUGUUGAAAAAUUAGCGGAUGACUUGUGGCUGGGGGUGAAAGGCCAAUCAAACCGGGAGAUAGCUGGUUCUCCCCGAAAGCUAUUUAGGUAGCGCCUCGUGAAUUCAUCUCCGGGGGUAGAGCACUGUUUCGGCAAGGGGGUCAUCCCGACUUACCAACCCGAUGCAAACUGCGAAUACCGGAGAAUGUUAUCACGGGAGACACACGGCGGGUGCUAACGUCCGUCGUGAAGAGGGAAACAACCCAGACCGCCAGCUAAGGUCCCAAAGUCAUGGUUAAGUGGGAAACGAUGUGGGAAGGCCCAGACAGCCAGGAUGUUGGCUUAGAAGCAGCCAUCAUUUAAAGAAAGCGUAAUAGCUCACUGGUCGAGUCGGCCUGCGCGGAAGAUGUAACGGGGCUAAACCAUGCACCGAAGCUGCGGCAGCGACACUAUGUGUUGUUGGGUAGGGGAGCGUUCUGUAAGC